rnacentral:rRNA from 1 species
UACGGAGGAUGCAAGCGUUAUCCGGAAUGAUUGGGCGUAAAGCGUCCGCAGGUGGCAAUGUAAGUCUGCUGUCAAAGCGUCUGGCUCAACCAGAUACAGGCAGUGGAAACUACAUAGCUAGAGUAAGGGAGGGGUAGAGGGAAUUCCUGGUGUAGCGGUGAAAUGCGUAGAGAUCAGGAAGAACACCGGUGGCGAAGGCGCUCUGCUGGACCUUAACUGACACUGAGGGACGAAAGCUAGGGGAGCGAAUGGG